rnacentral:rRNA from 1 species
UUCCGGUUGAUCCCGCCGGACCCGACUGCUAUCAGAGUGGGACUAAGCCAUGCGAGUCAACAUAGCAAUAUGUGGCAUACGGCUCAGUAACACGUAGUCAACAUGCCCAGGGGACGUGGAUAACCUCGGGAAACUGAGGAUAAACCGCGAUAGGUCAUCACUUCUGGAAUGGGUAAUGACUUAAAUCUAUAUGGCCCCUGGAUUGGACUGCGGCCGAUCAGGCUGUUGGUGAGGUAAUGGCCCACCAAACCUGUAACCGGUACGGGCUCUGAGAGGAGGAGCCCGGAGAUGGGCACUGAGACAAGGGCCCAGGCCCUAUGGGGCGCAGCAGGCGCGAAACCUCUGCAAUAGGCGAAAGCUUGACAGGGUUACUCUGAGUGAUUUCCGUUAAGGAGAUCUUUUGGCACCUCUAAAAAUGGUGCAGAAUAAGGGGUGGGCAAGUCUGGUGUCAGCCGCCGCGGUAAUACCAGCACCCCGAGUGGUCGGGACGUUUAUUGGGCCUAAAGCAUCCGUAGCCGGUUCUACAAGUCUUCCGUUAAAUCCACCUGCUUAACAGAUGGGCUGCGGAAGAUACUAUAGAGCUAGGAGGCGGGAGAGGCAAGCGGUACUCGAUGGGUAGGGGUAAAAUCCGUUGAUCCAUUGAAGACCACCAGUGGCGAAGGCGGCUUGCCAGAACGCGCUCGACGGUGAGGGAUGAAAGCUGGGGGAGCAAACCGGAUUAGAUACCCGGGUAGUCCCAGCUGUAAACGAUGCAGACUCGGUGAUGAGUUGGCUUAUUGCUAACUCAGUGCCGCAGGGAAGCCGUUAAGUUUGCCGCCUGGGGAGUACGGUCGCAAGACUGAAACUUAAAGGAAUGGCGGGGGAGCA